rnacentral:rRNA from 1 species
CCUACGGGAGGCAGCAGUAGGGAAUAUUGCACAAUGGGGGAAACCCUGAUGCAGCAACGCCGCGUGAGUGAAGAAGUAAUUCGUUAUGUAAAGCUCUAUCGGCAGAGAAGAAAAUGACGGUACCUAAGGAAUAAGCCCCGGCUAACUACGUGCCAGCAGCCGCGGUAAUACGUAGGGGGCAAGCGUUAUCCGGAUUUACUGGGUGUAAAGGGAGCGUAGACGGCAGUGCAAGUCUGGAGUGAAAGGCGGGGGCUCAACCCCCGGACUGCUCUGGAAACUGUACGGCUGGAGUGCAGGAGAGGUAAGUGGAAUUCCUAGUGUAGGGGUGAAAUGCGUAGAGAUUAGGAGGAACACUAGUGGCGAAGGCGGCCUACUGGAACGUAACUGACGCUGAGGCGCGAAAGCGUGGGGAGCAAACAGGAUUAGAUACCCCAGUAGUC